rnacentral:rRNA from 1 species
UACGAAGGGGGGCUAGCGUUGCUCGGAAUUACUGGGCGUAAAGGGAGCGUAGGCGGACAGUUUAGUCAGAGGUGAAAAGCCCAGGGCUCAACCUUGGAAUUGCCUUUGAUACUGACUGUCUUGAGUAUGGGAGAGGUUAGCGGAACUCCGAGUGUAGAGGUGAAAUUCGUAGAUAUUCGGAAGAACACCAGUGGCGAAGGCGGCUAACUGGCCCAUUACUGACGCUGAGGCUCGGAAAGCAUGGGAGCAAACAGG